rnacentral:lncRNA from 1 species
UGAUACACGGGACCCAAGGCCACCAAAUAAAGAACAACCCCAAGAGCAUGGUGAAGGGUAAAAAGGCCAUUUCUACACAAAGGGGGGUGUGCUUAGCUUUCCAUGGGGCGGCAUUAGUAAUUGAAUUUCCCCACAUGUAAAACUCCUUUGUCACGUGCUUUACAAGGCUUUCUAGAAGCCUAGCAUCUUUAACACAUGAUGAAAUAGUGAAUCUGAGAUUUCCGUUGGUGGAGGCCGAGAGAUUCAACUAUAAAUUCUCUUGGCCUAGCUUGUAUGAAUACUUUGGAAUNUAUGAGAAAUUUCUUCAAUAUGAAAUUCAUCUCUGCCAAGCAAAUGCUUACCAAAGUCACUCUUUCCAUCAACUCUCUCCCACCUCUUAGCUUUCUUCCAACANNN